AUGAGUGAUACCUUUGGUAGAUUCCAAGAGGAAAAGAACAACAUUGAGAGUGAAAAGGUAGAAAUAAAGAGAGAAAAAGAACAGAUGAACAGGGAAAGAGAAAAUAUGGAGUGUCUGAGAAAAGAUGUACUCAGUGAAAAAGAGAUAGUAGCAGAAAACAGACAAUUGCUAAAGACAGAAACAGAUGAGAUGGAGGAAAAGAAAUUAAAUCUGGAGAAACUUCUGGAAAACAUAAAACUCCAGAAACAAAUAAAUGAAGAUGAGAAAGACCAACUGGAACAGACAAAGACUGAGCUGCUCAGAGAAGCUGAGAACAUUGAAAACUUAAAACAAGAAACACUGAAAGAAAGACAGAGAGUAGAAGAAAUGUCUGCUCAACUUAAAAAAGAGAGAGAUAAUUAUGAGGGUAUUGUCCAAGACACUGUCAAAGAGAAAGAGGCUCUUAAUCGCAUUAAUCAUGAAAUAGAACUGCAGAGACAUGCAGUUGAAUUAGACAAAGAUCUACUUCUAAAAGAAAAGUUUGAAUUUGAAACAGCGAAGUUGGAUUUAGCCAGGGUUAAAGAAGAACUGUCUGACCAGGCAGAAAAGAAUGAGAUAGCACUUACUAAAAUCAAUCAAGAAAGAGACAGUCUUGAGCAGCUCAAAAUCAACAUCUCAGAACAGAUGGCCAAUAUUGGAAAUAUAAGAGAAAAUAUUCAGCACAGAGGGGAUGAGCUAGAAAAGCUACAAGAAGAAAUAAAGCAUCAACAACAAGGGAUUGAUCACCUGAUGGAUAUAUAUAAGAUGGAAAAGAGUCAGUUAGAGCAGAAACAAGAUGAAACAGAUCAGCUACAGGCAGAACUAAAUAGUAUGAUAACAACCACAAAGGAGGAAAAAAGUGCGUUUGACAGAGAAAGAGCUGAAAUAAUGGAAGAAAUCCAACAAUCUAAGAAUAGGCUACAGACAGAGAUUGAAGACAUGGAGCUUUUGAAAAAAGAAAUCCUUUCUGAGAAGAAAAUGAUCAAAAACAAUCGACAAAUGUUAAGAAAAGAUGUGAAUGACAUGGAAGCAAGUAAAUCUGAAAUCAGAAGGGAGUUAGAACAUCUUAGAUUUCAAAAGCAAGCUAUGGAGGAUGAGAAGAAAAUGGUACAAGAAAUGCAGGUAGAACUUCACAAUGAAGUGAAGAGAAUCGAGAUGUUUAAGGAAGAAGCAGAGCUUGACAAGAAAAGGUUGGACGAGUUGGCCAUUCAGCUUCAACAUCAGAGAGAGAAUAUAAAUAAUCUUGCUAUGGAAACUGAAAGGAGGAAUGAAAUUCUGGAUGGGAUUCAAGCCGAUGUGGAAAAGCAGAGGGAAACAACCGAGUCAGAAAGGUGUUUGCUUGAAAAUGAAAAAAAAGACCUGGAGAAAGCUAAAGCAGAGAUUGCAAAAUCCAAAGAAGACUUAGAAAAACAAAUCUCAGAGAAAGAAAAAAGCUAUGCUGUUGUACUUGCAGACAUACAAAAAGAGAGAAUAGCCCUUAAACACAUGCAUGAAAUGGUGUCAGAGCAGCUUGCAGAUAUUGAAAAUGAGAGGAAGAAAAUAUCAGAUAAAGGAGAUGAGCUGUCGCAGUUACAGGCAGAUGUCCUCAAACAACAAAAAGAGAUGGAAGACCUUAAGGACACAUUCAAGCUGGAAAUGAAUCAGCUUGAACAGAGACAAGCUGAUUUAGAUCAACUCCAGAAAGAAGUGGAUGAUGUCAUGGAAUUCACAAAGAAUGAAAUGAGCAAUGUUGAAAAAGAAAGGGCUGAACUGUUAGAGGAGAAACAACAAAUAGAUAGAAAUUUUAAGGAACUUCUUGCUGAGAAGGCAUUUGUUCAUAAUAGCAGACAGGCUUUGCAGAGAGAUAGAGAUGAAAUUGAGCUGAGCAAAGCUAAUGUACAUAGACAGUUAGAGGAUAUCAUCAUUCAACGACAGGCUAUUUUUGAUGAUAAUGAAAUGUUGCAAAAGAUGAAAGCUAAACUGUAUGCCGAAGCUAAUUAUAUUCAAAAUCUCAAGCAACAACUAGAGGAUGAAAAACUGAAAUUUGAAGAAACAGCAGCCCAACUCCAAGAAGAACAGCAUCAUUUGGAGGGUCUUACAGAAGAAACCAAAAAGAAAAAUGAUAUGCUAGAGGCAGCACAAGCUGAGAUGGAACAGCAGAGAAAAGCAAUUGAAGCUGAAAAAGCUAGAAUUGAAGAGGAAAUAUAUGAACCAAGGAAAGCCAUGACUGAGAUGGCAACAGUUAAAGAAGCUCUUGAAAGACAACCACUCAAACAAGAUGAAAUAGAUCAGCAUCAAGCCCAAAUUCAGAAACAGCAAAAUGAAAUAGAUGGCAUAAAGAAUAUUGUUUUAAUGGAGAAGGCCCAACUAGAACAGAGGCAGAUUGAUCUUAAUCAACAACACCAAUAUAUGAUGGAGUCAAUCAGGGUAGAGAAGAGCAAUCUUGAGAAGGAAAAGAAUGAAAUGAUGAAGCAGAAACAGCAAGUGGAGAAUGAACUGCAAAAUGCAAUAAAGAUGGAGAGAGAGAACCUGGAUCACUUAAAGAAAGAAAUCCUUGACGAAAAGGCUCUAAUUGAAGACACCAAGAAAAUUAUCAUAAGCAGUGUAGCUGAUAUAGAACAAAAGAAAUUUGAAUUGUUUAGGGAGUUAGAAGAUCUCAAACUGCAGAAACAAGCUUGUGAGGAUGAAAGGUACCACAUACAGAAAAUGAAAGCUGGCCUUCAAAUAGAGUUAGAAGAUAUUGCAAAGCAAAAGCAAGACACCGAUAAAGAAAGAACCCAACUUCAACAGGAGAGAGACCAAGUAAAUCAUUUUGCAGAAGAGAACAUAAGAAACAAUGACAUUCUUAUUAGGAUGCAAGAAGACAUUGAAAAACAGAGACAAGAAAUUGAGUCUGAUAAAAAUAUGCUUGAACAGUUCAAACAUACAUUAAAUGAAGCUAAGGAAGAAAUAGCUAGAGCAAAACUAGAGCUUGAAACCCAGUUUGCUGAAAAAAGACAAAGCAAUGAAGUGACUCUGACAGAAAUACAGAAAGAGAAAGACAGCCUUGAAGCAAAGAACUUUAACAUCUUAAGUCAAAUUGGUGUUCUUGAAAAUGAAAAAGAAUCACUACAUCUCAGACAAAAAGAACUGGAAAUGCAGGAAGCCAAAAUUCAAACCCAACAAAAGGAAAUCAAUGAAUUAUGGAAUGGAGUGCAAGAUGAAAUGGAACUUAGCAGGAAGGAGAGGGAGAACAUUGAGAAAGCAAAAGCUGAAAUGUUUGAACAGAAACAGGAACUUGAGAGUUGUCUAAACAAUGCUCUGAAGAGUGAGAAAGAAAAUGAGCUUCAGAAGAAAGAGUUGUUAGAUGCAACUGAAUUAAUUAAGAAUGAGAAAGAUGAGAUACAGAAUAUGAAGUCUGAGCUGAAAAGAAAUAUGGAGGAUUUUGAGAAAUUAAAGCAAGACAGACAAUAUGACAGUGAAAAAAUUAAGAAUUUACAAUCAGAAUUAGAGAGAGCAAGAGAAGCUCUUGAUCAGGUGCAAGCCAGCAUUGCAGUAGAAAGACAAGGUCUUGAGAAAGAACGAGCAGGUAUAGAGGAGCAGACGCAGACAAUUCGUCAUCAAGUGAAUGAGAUAGAAACUGAAAAGAGCCUUAUCAGAGCAAAAAACACUGAGCUGCAACUAUUACAAAGACAAAUGCAACAACAACAACAAGAAAUGAUUAGAGAGGAGGAAAGAAUAGAAAAACAAAGACGGUCACUACAAAGAGAAGAAGAGGAUUGGGUAAAGAAAAAUAAAAAAUCAAAGGAUGAAACGGAAACAAUUCACGAACUGAAGAUGGAGUUACAAAAACAGACAGAAGCAAAUGAGGAAAAAAUGGAAGCAAUUAUUAGAGAAUUUAAUGCACUUGAAGAGGCAAAGGCUCUGUUGCAAAUAGAGUCCACAGAAAUUGACAGAAAAGAUGCAGAGACACAAACACAGCAAGAAGAGCUCGACCUGGUGAAGUCUGACAUUUUGAUGCAAAAGGCAGAUCUUGACACUAAAAGACAGGAGAUUAAAUUAGAGAUGGAACAACUCACUGGUUUGCAAGAAGAAAUUGGGAAACAGAAAGAAGAACUGGAGGAAAAGAUGCUAAAAAACAAACGUGAGAUGGGAGAAGUUAUAUUUAUGAAGUUUGAAAUUGAUGGAAGGAAGAAAGACCUUGAUCAGAGGAUGAGACAGGUCACAAGAAAACGAGAUGAAAUGGAUAAAAUGAUGGAAGAGGUUGAGAGUGGCAGAGAAGAACUCCAGAAGGAAAGAGACAUACUCAACAGUGAAAGGCUUGAGCUAGAACAAUUAAAGGCUGAUUUACAAACAACAAGAGAAACAUUUCAGCUCAGUCGGAUGGAGAGUGUCGGAGAUGUGGAGGAAAAGGAGCAAAUAAAUGCUGAAAUAUUGAGGUUAAUUCAAGAAAUUGAGAACACUAGAGAUACAAUGCAGAAAGGCAAACAUGACGUGGAAACCAAGCUGGAGAGCACAACAAUGGAGUCAGGUGAAGCCCAACAAAUGAAUGCUGAGAUGCAGAAACUGAUUCAAGAAAUGGACCAAAUGAGAAUGGUUUUGAGUAGAAUGAAAGACGAGGUCAAGAUUAUGAGACAACAAAAGGAAGAACUUGCAAACUUGAGACUAGAAAAGGAGACACAAAAGCAGCAAAUUGAAGACUUUAAACAGCAGGUUAAUGAUUUACAAAGAGAAAGAGAACAGAUGAAAAGCAAAUUAAGACAAGUGGAUCAGAGUAGAGCUUACAUUGAGAAACAAAGGCAGGAGAUUGAAUUUGAAAAACAAAAAAUGUAUGAUGAAAGUCAGUUGUUAGAAAAGAAUAAAACUGAUGUACGGAUGAAAUCUGAAAUGUUAGACAGCCUCUUAGAGGAGACUAUGGAAAAAGCAGUUACACUAAGAACAGAAGCUGCAAGUGACAUGGAAAUUAAGACUGAAGAGGUUAAACCAGUGGAUUCAGAGAGGUCAAGGACAGAUAUGGAAGUGUUAGGCUUGGAUAGUGUUAAAGAUGUCGUAGAGACAGAGGAGAGUAAGAGCUAUAGCAAACAGACCAAAAGAGAAAUAAAGAAAUUGGCAAAAAUGAAAGCUGAGCUAGAUAGACAAAUAGAGGAACUUGAAGAAAGUGAUGCAGACAGAAAACAUGAAAUUGAAGCGGCAGAACAAAGCAAGCCUGAAAAACUAAAAGUACAGAAAUAUGCCAAAAAGCAACAAGCAACAUUUGCAACUGUGGAAAUGGAUGUAAUUAAGAAACAGAAAGAUGAACUGGAGGAAAAGCUUCAAAAGACAACAUGUGAAAUGGGAGAACUGGAACUGAUGAGAUCUGAGAUCAGUAUGGAGAAAAAAGAGCUGGACCAGAAGAUGAGACAAGUUGCGCGGAAGAAAGAUGAAAUGGAGCGGAUGAAGACUGAGACUGAGAAUCUUAAAACAAUGCUGGAAGAAGCUAAGAGGGAGAAGGAAAGGGAUAAGACUGACUUCGAGAUUCUUAAAACAAUGCUGGAAGAAGCUAAGAGGGAGAAGGAAAGGGAUAAGACUGAGACUGAAAUUCUUAAAACAAUGCUGGAAGAAGCUAAGAGGGAGAAGGAAAAUGAUGAAAACCUAUUGCUCAAGCUUACAAAAAAGAACAAGGAAUUAUCACAAGCCAUGGCAGAGAAAGAUCAAGGAGUGGAGCAACUCCAAAGCAAAAUCCAGAAAAUGACAGAGGAACUGGAGAUGACAAUGCAAGCAGUGAAAGAAGAGAAGGAGAAAAUAGAGAUGGACAAAAAUGUGUUGAGUAGAGAAAGAAAUGAACUAGAACAAAUGAAGGCUGGAGCAUUGAAGAAGGUGUCAAGAAGCGUAGAACAAACAAAGCCAAUGGAAAUGGAAAAAGUGGAAUCCAGCAUAGGUGUUCCAGUAAAGACAAUGACAGAUGAGACAAUAAAACCUGGCAGACCAACGAUGACAGAAAGUACAGAUGCCCAGACGCAGACUUACGCAGUCGAACCAAUGCAGCAGGAAUUUUUCCACGGCAUCCCACAACACACAGGAGAAGAAGCAGUAGUAGAAGAACUUAUCCUCAUAAGAUCUGACUUGGAGAAACAGAGAGUUGAACUUGAAGACAAAAGAAAAUCCAUAAAAACAUGUGAACUACAGCUUGAAAGUAUGAAAUCUAAUAUAAAGGAAACAGAGAAAGAAUGUGGAAUUGCUGAAAUGAAAAAGAAAGAGAUCAUAGAGGAUAUUAAUGUAAGAAGUAAUGAUCUGGAGAAGAUUAAGGCAGAAAGCCAGAAACAGAUAGAGGAGAUGAAACAUUUAGCACAGCUGAUUCAAAGCAGAAAGCAGAUUCUGCAGCAAAUGGAAGAAGACAUACAACAAAAACAAAGAGAGAUGAUGAGGAGAGAGUUAAGUAAACAGAAAACAGAGAUACAGGACAGAGAAGAUUUCAGAGAAAAACAGUUAACGUAUGAGAAGAAGGAGGCAAAGGAUGUUGGCAUACAGUGUAUAGUGGAACAGGAAGUAAAAGACUAUCACUUUAUGGCUGAUGCCAAACCUACAGUGCAAAAUACUUGCACUACUCAGACAUACGAUGAAGAUUUCGCCAUCAUUGAAGAUGAGACACCUGACAGAGACCUUCUGAUCUACAAAAAGGAGAUAGACAAAAUGUCUAGAACAAUAGACGACAUGAAAGAAGAGCUAGAAAAGAGAUUACAAGACAUCCGAAGAAAAGAGCUGGAAAGAGCCGGAAUCCAGAAAGAGAAAAUCGAGCUGGAGCUAAAGAAGUCUGAAAUGGAAAGGUAUAAUGAAGCGCUUCGCCAAGAGAGCGAGACGGACAGACAAAAAGUCAUUGAGAGAGAGAAAGAAAUCAUCCUGUUAAAGGAAUGCAUGCUGAUGGAGAUUCAGCACCUGAAGAGCAAGCGGACAGACCCAAGCACCCAAGAAUACUUGCAGAGGCUGGAGCAACUCAUCAGUGAAGCAGCUAUAAAGAUGGACAGAUUUAGACGGAUGACAGACAAAUCCGUGCAGACAGUGGCACAAGAGUGGACCGCAGAAGAAAGGAGAGGCACUGUUCAGCAGGUGGAGGAUGUCAAGGUACAGGAGUGGACUGGACAGGAGGAGGCUGCCACCUCUAGUGUUCAUGUCCUGGUUGAGGAGAGGCAGGAGGACGCAGUGAGAACAGAGAGGCUGAGGGGUGCUCUGGCUGCAGACGUGUCACGGAGAAGGUGGCUGCUGCGGUGGCUCAGAAGAUGCUGCUGCUGCUGCUGUCCUACACAAACAGAAGAAGAGGAGCAAGACAUCCUGUGAUCUUCAAAAUGUUUCAAUAUUUAGCAGAUGACCUUGUUUUUAUUUAUUUUAUAUAUUUUUUGCUUUUAGCUUUUACAUUGUAAGGUCAUUUAAUGGCAUGGGGCAAUAUACCUUUGAAAAGCACUUUUUUACAAUACGAUUGAAAUUCUAUCCUUGAGAUAUGAGAAGUUUGUAUAGUAAUGAUGAUUUGCUAAAGAAAAAAAAAUAGAAAAGUACAGUUUGGCACUUUUGCACUUAAAUUCAUAGUGAGUGUCCUAACCACUAUCCCCUAUGUGUGAAAAUAUACUAAUACUACAUAGAGAGCACUACAGAAUUUCAUAAACCUAAAUAUAU
ensembl:lncRNA